GGCCCUUUAGCUCAGUUGGUUAGAGCACGCGACUCAUAAUCGCUUGGUCGCUGGUUCAAGUCCAGCAAGGGCCA
rnacentral:tRNA from 5 species